GGUUAAGAAUAUUCUUUUUAUAAUAAGUUAUAUUUCUAGUGUCUGCUUAAUUAAAAUUGUAAUUGGUAAACUUUUUAAGUAAAAUUGAUGUUAUUGUAUUACAACCCUGUGUCUAUACAUAAAUUUUUUUUAACAGAUUUAGAUAAAAUGAAAAACUUAGCUGGUAUUAGAUCUCCCUUAAAAAACUAUCUUCAUACCUUGAUUCAUUCUUGUAACUAGUUUCAACCCUUUCUUCGCCAACUCAUUUUGAUGAAAUAUGUUUAUAAGUCACAGAUUCUUUUAAAAAUGUUUAAUUUUUAUAGAACUCUAUUGAUUCAUAUCACUGGAAUGAGUUUGAAAGAAAAACUAAAAAUAGAAAUCCAAAAAUGCAAUCUGCUUAAACACUUUUUAAAUGAUUAAAAAAAAAAAGAACUUGAAAUUUGAGCAAUAAAAGAUUGUAUGUAGGAAGCAUUUAUCUGUAAAUAUAUAAUUUUUAAUCUUGAACAUGACUCAUAUGAAAUGUGAAUAUGAAAUCUCGUGCCUGAAAAAUGUGAUUUUUAAUAUAAAAUCGUGAAAAUAAGAAAUACUAUACACAAUUUUAAAUCGCUUUAAUUAGGAAUCGAGAUGAGAUUUUAAAUCACAUUUGCAUUGGUAAGAAAAAGCGUAAAUGUUUUUUUCUUUUAGGACUUAAAAAAAGACAAACUUUAAUUGAAGAGGUGUUUUUUUUAUGUUUCUUUUUUUAGUAAUAGUUACAAAAAGUUCUGUCAGGGUUAGAAAUUUUUCUGGAGCGCGCAUCACACGAUUGUGUAUAUUAUACAGAUAAAAUUAUAAAUAUCAAUCAAAAUUCUCAAAAGAAUCAAAAGUAUAUUUGUUUCGAUUGUUCCUAUUCUACAAAUGAUGCUGUGGAAAUAAGUAAACACGUUGAAAAACAUUCAGUUAAUAGGAAACCUGUAAAGAUCCGAAAAAGAAAAGAAACAGAACGAUUUGUGUGUUACCAAUGUCCAUUCAGAAGUGAUUCAGAGUCAGAGAUGACCCAACAUUUGAUGACCCAUAGUUCAGAUUUGAAUUUUUCUUGUUUAAUUUGCAAGCAGAAAUUUUAUUUCCAGGACGAUCUUGCAGCUCAUUUUAACUCACACAGUGAGAAGACAUUCAGGUGUGAAACAUGUUUCAGUGACUUUUCUAGGAUAAGUUCCCUUAUGUAUCACCGCAAAACACAUCUUGACUCAAGAUCCUUUACUUGUAAGUACUGUGAUAAAGUAUUCAGCGAUGUUUUUGCAUUUAAUCAGCAUGAAGCUACUCAUAAUGACCCCUUCCUUAAUAAUGUUGGUUCUUAAUUAGUUAAUAUUUUAGGAAAUUUCAUAAUUUCCUUUUUAAGAAGAAAAAAUAUACAUUGCUUCAUUUAUAGUUUGUAUACAUUCGCUAACUUUAAAAGUUUGAAGAAAAAAAAAUACACAGCUUUUAAACUUUAGAAAUCCACUGAAAACUGCUAAAGUUUUGAGAUUUUAUAUAUCACAGUUUUUAUGCAACUCAAAAAGCGAUUUUCUCAAAACAACAUCUUGAAAAAGGUAACAGCAAUUAUUAUGGCAACUGUAUCCAUUUGUUUCAAAAACAAUUUGUUUCAUUUUGGCUUUUUCUUUUAAAAUUCAUUAAAUUCUUUGAUAUAUAAGGAAAACCCUGUUUAUCUUUUAGGUAAAUAUCUUUAUUUUAUAAUUGAUGACAUGUUAUUCGUAAUAGAUUUUUACAUGAUAAUUAGGACUAAUUAAAUAGUUUUUAAUUAAGUUAAUAGUUCAGCAUUUGAUUAUGUAUUUUUUGUGACUAAUACUUUUAGAAUUAUUAGAGAAAAUCUUGUUCAAAGUUCCAUGUUACAUCGUAAAAUGUGAUAACAUAAAAUAUGUAUCAUCCCCGUGGCAGAAUCACAGCGACAUUGACGCAGAAUGUUACAGAGUUAUUGCGCAAAGAUUUUUUUUUUCUUCAGAAAUUUACAAGCAAUAUUUGAAUCAUGCAUUCAGAUGAACACUUUUUGGUGAGCACAAUUUAUACCGAUGGUAUUGUAAAUCGGUGUAAUGUUUCAAUUGUAUUUUUGGCAGUUAUUGAUAUUGAUUUUCACCUGGUUUUUAAAGAUCCCGAUAUAUUUCAAACAAUAUGAAAAAUUUGAAUCUUACAUUUGAGUAUUUAUUUUUUAAAGCAAUAAUUCUAUCGAAUUUUUGGCAGUUACUGCUAUUGAUUUCACCAUGGUUUUUAAAUCCGACAUUUUUAUAUGAUAUUAUUUAUUGCAAUAACCUAAUCUCGAAAGGAGAUACGCAUUUGAGAAGUCCGAUUUUCUUGAUUUCGUAUUCGAUCUUUUUUUUUUCGGCAAUUACUACUACGGAUUUCCUUAUUUUUAAUUUUAUUUUUUUAUUGUGAUGAUUUUUUACAAAAUACGAAAAAGGAAAUAAUUUGUAAGUCCCCCCCAACAGAAUGCGAGAAUAUCAUCCAUAAAUGUAGAAAAAUAACCACAUAUUCAAUUAAAAAGAAUUAUAUAGUUUUUUCUUUUGUAAACACAGCGCUUUUGUUAUUUAAAUUAUUGGCAUAUAUGUUUGUUAUUAUUAAAAGUAUCUUGCAGAACGAUAUUAGUACUAGAAAGUUUUGUCACAGAUAGCUCGAAAAAAUUCUGCCACAGGGUGCAUCAUAACUUUCAGCAAUGUUUGAGUUAAUGUAAUGUUUGAGUAAAUUUAAAUCGCUAUUUCUUAAAAUCAUGGGGGAAAUUGUCAAAGUUUGCAGGUGGUUAUAACUAUGUAAAUUUCUUAAACAUUUUUACUCCUAAAAAUUUACCAUGUUUACCACAUGUCACCGGUGAUAAUAAUCUAAAAGCAAUAUUAUCACUAAAUUAUGAAGUAUUUGUCUGCUUUUAUUGUUUUACAUUUGUAAUUUGAGAUGAUUUUAGUCAUGUGAAUAUUCUAUUGAAUAAAUGCUUGAACAUUAUUUAAAGAAUGUUGAUUAAGCAUUAAUCAUCUUUUAAAAUUUUUAGAAAUAUUCAUUCUUUGUAUUUAAUUUCUUCAUGCCAUUUUUUAAAUAGAAAAUAUAAACAUAAGACUUUUAUAUUCAAGAUGUCCUUCUCCCAAUGUUAUAUUUAAUAUGAGAAUCACAGCUAUGUAUCUGUUUCCUUUUUCUUGUGUUCAUCAUACAUAUUUUAAAUUUUCUGAUAUGCUUGUCACGUGAUUUUUGCUUAUAAUAUUCAUUGUUAUUAAAUUAAUAGUAGAAAAACCAUUCCUUUAAAACUUUUUUUUAACUGCCUAAAAAGGACUUUGCUUUUAGCUUUUAAAUAUAAAUUUUAAAUAUAUUAUAUACAUAGCUGCCAACUCUACUGGAUUUUCCAGUAGACUACUGGAUUUUUCCAGUUUCUCCUGGUUUUUGUACAUUUUAGCAAACUCCCUAAAAUUGAGUCAGUUUCAUAAAAAUCCCUAUUGAAAUAGAAUUUUUUUUAUAGAUUAUUGCUUGAAUAUUUAAAUAAGUAUUACUAAUAUAUGAUAAGGAAAUCCUCAUUUAUAAAAAUCAGUUUGAAGCUUUUUUUGUUCUAAAAUGUUUGGUUUAUUUUUAUUCAGAACUCCCUUUAUUACAUGUAUUAAAACAUCUUAAUUAUUUCGUAUGAAUUAUAUGCUUAUUCAAAAUUACAAGUAAACAUAAUUCACAACAUUUCAAGCAUAUUUAACGCCAAUUAUGACUGGAAAAAUUGCAGUUUUUCUAUUUUGAUGUCUAUAAAAAUCCCUAAAAUUCCCCGUGUUUAAAAUAUUUAGCACAUUUUGCUACAGUUAUCAUGAAAUUUAUAUUAUUUUGUAAAAUCUACUGGAUUUUUGUCUAUCUAUGUUGGCAGCUAUGUAUAUAUAUAUUGAGGUUUAAGAUUUAAAUCAUGAAUGAACAAUAAUAAUAUUUUAUUUUAUAAAGAGUUCAAAAUUAAAUUUUCUUGCGUUUCAUACAGCUUUAAUUUCUUCGUUUUAAUUUUAUUAAUAAUCUUAUUAAUUAAAUUAUUCAUUUGAUAUUGGCAUACAUAUCUAUUGGCUGCACAUCUGCAAAUGAAUUUGGGUUGAAUAUUGACAGCAAAGCCCUCUCUUCAUCUCAAUUAUUCAUUUUUCAAAAAAAAAAAAAAAAAAAAGCUUUAUUUUCUAGAAAUUAUUUUUAUUUGAAGAAAAUUAUUACUUUUUUACUUACAAGUUAAAGAUUUUGAGUCAAGAUUUGUUAGUUAUGAGUUAUUUAAUUUAAAAUAUUAUAAACUUUAGACUGGUUAUUUCAUAAACUUGUGAAACUCAGUUAAUUUUUAAUUGGUGAAACUAAUUACAAAUUUAUUUUGGUUUUUAUAUGCAUAGAACAUUAAAUUAUUUUUUCUCUUCAAAGAUCUCAAAACUCUAUUUACUGCCUUUAUUUGUUUCAAGUGUGAGCCAAUUAUAUCAUUUUUUAAAAUUUUUUUUAGGCGUAACAGUUUUAAUUUUUGUGUAAGUUAUCUAUUUUUAAUUUGAAAGGAAUAGAUUUAUAAUGUAAUUAUAUGUUGAUUCCUGAUUUUAUCUCUUACAUACGAAAAAAAAACACAUUUUAAUGCACUGUAAUUGUAAUUUCUUUAUCAUUAAAUAUAAAAAUAAACUUUUCAGCUUUUAAAUUUUUUCUUGUUUAUGUCAUUAUUAGUCUACAAAAUGAUACAAGGGCUUAAAUUUAUUCUUAUACAAUUCUUAUUGUUUUAUUCAGAGUGUUUACAUAUUGAUUGUGCUUAGAAGAUAUUUUCUAUAAAAUUAUAUCAGUGAAAUGUUCUGCUUAUUGUCUAAAAGUGAACUAUAUUUCCUGUCAUUAAAUGUGAUGAGAUUAAAGUCAAAUAAAGUACAAUAAUUUGAGCUGAAA